AUAUGUUAGUUGAUAAGAACAGGUCAAGAUCACGAAAUAGUCUCUGAAUAGUUGAAGAAACUGUGACCACUAAAUGACACGAAACUAAUACUAUGGAUAUUUGCCUGAUUUUUUUUCAAAAAUUGCAAAGAUUCGCUUUCUGUUGGAUUAAAACAAUGAAGAGCAGUCUAGUGGAGUUUUGCUUGUUUCUUGUGCUAGUGAGAUUAACUAAAGGAAACAUCAAGGCCUUAUGUGGCACAUCAGACAGUUACUGGGAAGUGAGAGAGGGUAAACAGGACAACACAUUCACCUGCACGGGCUGUCUGCACAAGACACAGUGUCGUGGCUCUUACGAGGGAUCACUCAGUGGACACUAACGUUGGCUCAUGUCCGCCUCGUCCAUCAAAUGGAAGUGAACCUGUCUGUGAGAUGUUUUAUUUUCCUGUUUUCAAGCCAAGCAGAAUUUCCAAUGAAGCGGGUAUAAUGGUUGUUAAUACAACGGUAAAUUCAUUAACGACAUGGUUUGAGAAAGGACAACUGGUCUGCUCUGUUUUGGGGUCAGCUGAUGCUCCUUCUGGUUGUCGCUUGGACUACAUAUAUUUGGCUGAAAAUAUAUCAUGCACUGUUCAGUUCAGAAACGACUCCUGGACUGUGUUCGGUCACUGCGACAUUAAAAACUCCCGUUCGUCACAAAAGAGAUACAGGUGCGAGUGGAUAGAGAGAAAAGAGUCACCAAAAGAAGAGAUCAUCAUCGCCAACACAUCGAUGCUAGUUAUGCCUCCUAAUGGGACAUACAUUAACGGAACUUGUAACUUCAGCAGUUACUUGCCCUCUGAUGGUCGCUACACUUACAGUGUGACUAUUGUUCCCGGCGAGGUGACUGUCAAUGCAAGUUUCAUCGAAAGUAAUGAA